CUAGAUAUUUUCUGUGGAUACUGUAAGUACAUUAAAUAAUUAGAAUGUUAAUUACACGUUAGGUAUAUGAUAAUCAGGAAAUCAGGACAAGUUAGUAUUACCCCGAGAGGGAAUUCAUGGACAGGAUAACAAUCAAGAUUAUUAAUUUAAGUCAAGAAAGUCAAUCAAUUAUGGUGGUUACUUAUGUACCACGUUAUGGGAUUCGUUAGAAUCCAAUCAUGUUAUGAUUGUGAGCUUCAGCCGUGUCGAUGUACAUUAUUAUCGCAGACGGACAUGUCAGGCCUCUGAGACCGGCUCACCUCAGAGUGUCUUUGUUAUGAAUAAAACGAACAAGAUAAAUAAUUUGUGUUACACCUUUAUGUAUUACGUUAUGAAAUUAUGCUAUGUAAAUCAUGUUUAGAGAUUGACUAUCAGGAUCAAGGAACAUUAGUUCAUCAGUAGCCCCGGUGUAGACACCGAUAGUAAUUGGGUAGUAGGAAUCCACUGAGACGAAGUGACUGUCUCAUCCCCCACUUAUUUGAUUUCAGAUAAACAGGUUGAUCGAGAUAUGAUGGUCUGCAAGCAUGGAGUUUAGGUGCUUGGAUUAUGCUAGUUGAGCUGACAUCAUGUUAUCUUAUAUUUUGUAUAAGAUUUAGUUUCUUUAUGUUUUCAGUUGUUAGCUCAAUUUAGUAUUAAUCUCUUGAAUUCUAUAAUCCUAUUUAUGUAUUCGGACGAUAUGUAAUAAAAAUUUAAUAUUUCCCGAUUCAGUUAUGUACACUCUUGUCGAUAUUCUAGAUAAAUCGAUAUGGGGCGUUAUAGAUAUGAUCAUUGAACUGACUAAGCUUAGAAUUUCUAAUGGUCGAUGUUAUCUUAAACUGUCAAUAGAAAUUCUAAAGAAGAAAUAUAAUAAUUUUUCUUUGACCUGAGAUUAACAUAGUAAUU
rnacentral:lncRNA from 1 species